UACAGAGGAUGCAGGCGUUAUCCGGAAUGAUUGGGCGUAAAGCGUCUGUAGGUGGCUUUUUAAGUCCGCCGUCAAAUCCCAGGGCUCAACUCUGGACAGGCGGUGGAAACUACCAAGCUGGAGUACGGUAGGGGCAGAGGGAAUUUCCGGUGGAGCGGUGAAAUGCGUAGAGAUCGGAAAGAACACCAGAGGCGAAGGCGGCUACCUGGACAAUUGCUGACGCUCAGGCACGAAAGCGUGGGGAGCAAAAGGG
rnacentral:rRNA from 1 species